rnacentral:rRNA from 1 species
GGACUACUCGGGUAUCUAAUCCUGUUUGCUACCCACGCUUUCGUGUUUCAGCGUCAGUGAUGGUCCAGAAAGCCGUCUACACCGCAGGUGUUCCUCCUGAUAUCUACGCAUUUCACCGCUACACCAGGAAUUCCACUUUCCCAUCCCAUACUCUAGCUCCCCAGUCUUCGGCGCACCCUCCCGGUUAAGCCGGGAGAUUUCACACCAAACUUAGAAAGCCGCCUACACACCCUUUACGCCCAGUAACUCCGAACAACGCUUGCUGCCUACGUAUUACCGCGGCGGCUGGCAC